rnacentral:rRNA from 1 species
UGAGGAAUAUUGGUCAAUGGCCGAGAGGCUGAACCAGCCAAGUCGCGUGAGGGAUGAAGGUUCUAUGGAUCGUAAACCUCUUUUAUAAGGGAAUAAAGUGCGGGACGUGUCCCGUUUUGUAUGUACCUUAUGAAUAAGGAUCGGCUAACUCCGUGCCAGCAGCCGCGGUAAUACGGAGGAUCCGAGCGUUAUCCGGAUUUAUUGGGUUUAAAGGGUGCGUAGGCGGCCUUUUAAGUCAGCGGUGAAAGUCUGUGGCUCAACCAUAGAAUUGCCGUUGAAACUGGGGGGCUUGAGUAUGUUUGAGGCAGGCGGAAUGCGUGGUGUAGCGGUGAAAUGCUUAGAUAUCACGAAGAACUCCGAUUGCGAAGGCAGCUUGCCGGACUGUAACUGACGCUGAUGCUCGAAAGUGUGGGUAUCAAAC